GUACGGAUUUUCCAUUUCCUCUUUAUGAAAUUAAAAUAUGCUGGGGAUGACGGCAGAGCAGCAGAGAACAGUGCAUUGUCAUGCAAUGCACAGUGCCUGCAAAGGUGCCUUGUAGCUUAUUCCUUAUUCAAAGAGUGCCAAGUGCGUGUUUAAUCAAUGUCACGGCUCACUACAGUAUACAACUAAAAGCAUCUUCUCUCUUCAGAUGAGCUUGACUGCUGAGUUAUGCAAUACUCAAAAGAGGACCUCAGAAUUUAACGGUUUGCCAGAAGAUCUGAAAGGACUUGCAGAAAAACGGAAAGUGCAGCUAGACAGUUUGUGGGAAUUUUAAGUUAGUCUGAGCUGCUGUGCUGUGGAAUAAACAGUUUAAUUUGUUGAAUUUGGAGUUACAGCAACUUAGCCCAGGAAAUCAGAUGACUGACCAUUAACAAGUUGAGAGGUGCGCAAUAAUCGGAUAUCUUGACAAUUUUUGCUGUGUGACCAAGCAGAAACUACUAAGGCACUCAUAAGACCAUCCCAGAUAAUUAUUAACUAUUCUCCAUUAAAAAAAAACUUCUUGUAACCACCAAGUAGAUGUGGAUAUGUAAAAGAAUCACAAUGAAACACAGAACUGCAUUCGAUUCUUCUUUUCUUUGUCACGUUGCUUCAGUGGAUUACUGAUUUUUAGAAAUGAGAGGACAGGCUUCCUACACUUCAGUUUCUUAACCUGCUCCAUCACCAAACAAUACCAUUUUAUAUUCACGAGUUUUGAACUCUCUCAAGAAUCAAGCCACCAUAUAUGUAUGUACAUAACCAAAUGCAAACCAGCUCUUCAUGAGGAAAUCAAGCAACUUAUCAUUGUUACAAGGGGCUCAGAACUAUGCCCAGUGCCAUUUUACUCCUGAUGAGGUAUAGGGCAUCUAAAGAAGUAGUGGUGAAGUUACUAGCUACAGAAAUGGGCCCAGUGGCUGUCACCGCAGUAGAUGAUGUCAAGAGACGAGAAGAGAAGGAAGAAAAAGAAGAGUCCAUAUUGGCUAUGCUUGGGAUAGUUGGAACUGUGCUAAAUCUCUUUGUCAUUGUUUUUGUGUACAUCUAUACUACCCUUUGAUAUACUGAUGGCAGCUGUGCUAAGUGUGCAAGCGGAUGCAGCAGUGAUUACAAAUAACGCCCUGGUCAACCAUCACAGGGAUACAAGGAUGAAAUACCAAGAUAAGAAUGUUAUGUCCGAGAUGAGGCUAUAUCCUGGUGGUCCAGAGAUGCAGUCAAUGCAUGUAAACUCAGAACUACAAAAUAACCUACUGCUGGUACACCUGAAUGUAAAAUGAUGCUCAGUUACUGCCUCAUGGACAAACCCACAGGAAAAAGGCCGUAAAGCUAUUUGUCCAAAAAAAUAUCCACAUCACAGACUUAAAACUGAAACAUUACGAUAGCCUUAUAACCAUAUAGAGUUUGUUACAAUUUCAUUCUACAAAAUUCUAGAACAGAUUGUUACUCUGAUGGAGAGAAAAAAAUACAGCAAGCAAAUCAGUUUGGAAUUUCUGAAAAACAAAAAGCAUCUGACAACUCAAAGUUGCAAUGGCAGCAAAACUACUACCAUUACAAAGCCUGUCCAGGAAAAAAAAUCCUCAUUUAUAGUUUGUAUUGCUCAAAUUCUGUAAAACACUGCAGCAAUUAUGCUCAUUGCUUCUCCACACACUUCAUUCCUCCACUGAGUCUGAAGAAUUUAUAAAAGGCACAUUCCUAUAACUGCAAAAUGAAAAUAAAGCUGUAUGAUGAGGUCAUGUGUAUGAGAAAUGCACUUGUACAUUCUCCACAGAUGCUGGAACAACACUUUUACUGUAAUGCUGCUCCCUUAAUAUAGCUGACAUAUAUUUCGCAGCAAAGUCAUAUUUAAUACUAAACUGAGACAAUGACUUAAGAUCUCUCUGUAAAAUUUCUAAAAAGCUUUGAACUUGUAAACUACUGUUUUACUGGAUCCUACAUGUGUAGAAAUGGAUAAAAAAUAUAAUUUUUCAGGUUUCCUUAAGCGUUGUGAAUUCAGUGUUAAUGUACUUGUCUAAACUACAGGUUCUGCUAAAGUAAAAAAAAAAUAACCAAAUAAUAGUUCAAAUGCUGGGGAAAAAACACAAAGGAAAAUUAUACCCAAAUGGCAAAGAAGAUACAGUCCGAACAGCCUUUGAAGGGUAAAUGGUAAUUUUUAUUUAUGAAUUCAAGCAACAUCCAUCACACUUCUCAAAGGCCUCUGAUUUUCAGGGAUGUCCCUGAUUCCAGUUUUGAAUAGUAUUUUUGUCCCUUGUAGAGUCUGGGAAAAAGUCAAGAUCAUAUUCUCAACAUAAACAUUACAGCUAUAACUUCUAAUCCUUCAGAAAAUCCAUAGUAAUACACAUCCUCUUUACACACUCAACUAAGUGAAAAGCACCAGUAACCUUAAACAUACUUCUGGGUUUUGGACUUUUGUACCUGAUUUUGAGGUAAGUGGCUAACAGCUAUUGUACCUAAAACAAUUACUAAAGUUGGGAAAAGGUAAGUGCAGCAUAAAUCUGAAUCCAAUGGAGUUAAAGGCAGACAUACAGAUGUACACAGUGAGCGAAUGAGUUAAAAGUAAACAGAUUUGAAAGUGAAAAAGUAUUGUGUAUUACAGUGGGAAAGCUGGAGCACAUAAACAUGGUACUAAUAAUGCUGAAAACACAAAUGCUCUGCUUAUUAAAUCAGAUGGCUAAGUGCUACAAAAUAUUUUAUCAGUUACAUAAUUGUAGAAACAGCUCGAACAAAUGCAGCAAAAAUGAGUACGCCUCAAUGCACUAAUAUCAUGAAAAUAUGUUUGAGUUACUGGGUAUGUUCUGCAACAACUUAAAGUAACAUCAAAUUUGAAAAUCAACAUUUGUGUUAGGCUGUUUAUAUAGUACACUGUUACAAAGAUGGUUACUGUAAAAUGUAUUUAUCAGAAAAGAUGCAUCUCUCUGUAAAGGUAUAUUUAAUAAAGUUUUUAAAUUACA